rnacentral:lncRNA from 1 species
GACCUAUGCCACAGCUGUGUGUAGGGAUACCACAGAGCAGUUUUCAGGCUUAAGGGUUCCCUUCUCUGCUCCUGCAUCCAAGGAUGGCUUUUAAAAAUAAGAUGGUCCCCCAAAAAACCAAAUACCUGGGAAUACACCUGACCAAGGAGGUGAAAGACUUCACAUGCUGAGAACUAUAAAACAUUAAUCAAGGAAAUUAAAGAGGAUGUAAAGAAAUGGAAAGAUAUUCCAUGCUCCUGGGUUGGAAAAAUUAAUAUUGUAAAAAUGACCAUACUACCCAAAGCAAUCUACAGAUUCAAUGCAAUCUCUAUCAAAUGACCCAUGACAUUUUUCACAGAGCUAGAACAAACAAUCCAAAAAUUUAUAUGGAAUCACAAAAGACCCAGAAUUGCCAAAGCAAUCCUGAGGAACAAAAACCAAGCAGGAGGCAUCACUCUCCCAGACCUCAGACAAUAUGACAAAGCCACAGUCAUCAAGACAGUGUGGUACUGGUACCAAACAGACAGACCAAUGGAACAGAAUAGAGAACCCCAGAAAUAAACCCAGACACCUAUGGUCAAUUAAUCUUUGACAAGGGAAGAACAUAAAAUGGGAAAAAGUCUUUUCAGCAAGUAUUGCUGGGAAACUUGGACAGCUGCAAGCAAAUCAAUGAAACUAGAACACACCCUCACACCACGCACCACAAUAAACUCAAAAUGGCUACACCACAGCUCACAGAAACGCCAGAUCCUUAACCCACUGAGCGAGGCCGGGGACCGAACCUGCAUCCUUGGGGAUACUAGUUGGGCUCAUAACCGCUGAGCCACAACAGGGACUUCCUCUCUGGUUUCCUCCUGUAGAAUCCUGCCACCAAGGAGACACAAUCCUUCCUUUCCAAAGGCCACACACUCACUUCUAGGAGUAUUUUAUGAGCACUUGCUAGAUCUCUGGCCUGCCCAGGCACCUUCCAACCCCGUUCUGCUUUUCUUAAUGGGUACUGCAAAGCAGUUCCAUCUCAGCCCUGUACUGCAAGCUCACCUACGGCGGGGCUCUCAGUUUCGGGGACAGACCAGCUGCUGGAGAUUUCUGAGCUGCGCCUCUUCCACACAGCUCUGCCUUUCUCUCAUAACUGCUGGAACUUCCCAUCACGGCUUCCCAAUAGCACCUACAGGAGAUAAGGGGUCUUUUCUCCUAAAAUUUUCCAAAAUGUAGUUUGAAAGCUUCACUCUCCCCCCAAUUCUUCUUUAUUUGGUUUUUAGGGCCGCACCUGUGGCUUCUAGAAGUUCCCAGAAUAGAGGUCAAAUCAAAACUGUAGCUGCCAGUCUACACCACAGUCAUAGCAAUGCAGGAUCCAAGCCAUGUCUGUGACUUCCACCACAGCUCACAGCAAUACUGCAUCCUUAACCUACUGACUGAGGCCAGGGAUCGAACCUGAGUCCUCAUGGAUACCAGUCAGAUUUGUUUCCACUGAGCCACGACGGGAACUCCCAGCUCUUCCUUUUAAAAGUAGAAAGAUUAAGAACGAAUCUAGUCUUGUUCCUGUUGGAACUGCACACUCCGGCUGCCGGUUGUUCUGUGCUCCCCUUUUCAUGUUCAGGGCUCCAACUAGACUUUCGACCCAGAUACUCUCCUCCUUCAGUUCUGGGACACAGAUAACGUCCUACCACAGGAUUAGAUGAAGAACCUUCUUGACUGGUCCUUUGUUUCUUACCCUCUCACUCUUAUUUUCUAAUUAUUGUGGCUAUUCUUUUUUUUGUAUGGCUAUUCUAUUUUUUAGGAGAGUUCUUCAGCUUUAUUAUCUAGCCUGUUCCUGCUUUCCGAAUAAUUCCCCUUGAGAAGUCCUUAUCUGCUAAAUAGUUUGUCACGGGUUGGAAGUUUCCCCAGGAGAGAGUCCUUUCAUAUCUUGUUUGGGGGAGCCUCGUAAGCUUGACUACUGGUUUGGGGAGCCACGCAGAGGAGGACAGCUCUGCUUUCACUGUGGAGUGUGCCGGCGUUCGCUGAGCCCGUACUGGCUGGCAUUCAGCGCUUCACCCCUAGCGCAGCUGGCAAGAGCCCGCCUAGCUCACGUCUCCGAAGUGUAGACCUUGGGCCUUCUGCCAGGGUACAGGUGCACGGAGUGAGAGGGAUACAGGUUAUCAAAGUGAUACAAGCCAUCAGCUGACCCGCUGUUCUACUCCAUCUGCGGUCCUGCCUUGAGAAGUACUCGGCACCGCCAAAUCCUGAGCCUCUUCCAGGUGCUGUGGGGCCGGCUCGCUUCUCUUGGGGGCGCACGGCCUUCCGCACUCUCUGAUCUGGAGAAGCCGUUAGCUCCUGACCACCUUCUCCUAGUUUCCCAAAUGCGGGUUUCGCCUCUCUCGCGUUCUGGAUCUUUGUGGAUUUGUAUCUCUGCUCUUUCACUAACAUCUUGAUGGCAUUUCCAGAAGGUGUAGAAAGGGCAUGUCACAAACGCAACUGCAAGUGUCUACCUAACUUAAGCCUUGAUUUCUUCGAUCAAAAAUGCAGAACGUACCAUCUAACAUGGUGGCAACUAUUACCAUUAUUUUUCAUUUUUGCUUCUGUAAUCAGGAAGACUUCAUUUUAUUUACGUAUGUACUUGCCAAAGACCUAAUUACACAUCCAAAUCAAUAUUUGAUUAUUUACCCAAAUAAAUAAUAAAAAGUACAGUCAAAGUAGAUCUUCAAUGAUAGUCUCUCAAAGCACUCUGUUCUUUUCUCUUGCAGUAUUGACCUUGGUUUAUAAUAACAUAUUUAUAAUUACCUCAGUAAUAUCCACUUCCUAAAAAACCAAGCCCUAUGAGGACAGGAAGCACGUCUGUUUUGUUUACCUCUGAUUACCCAGCAUCAGUCCAAUGACUGGCACACAUAUGUAUUUGAUAACUGAAUGAAAGAAUACUUAUGCAAUUUAAUCUG